GAUGAACGCUGGCGGCGUGCCUAAUACAUGCAAGUCGAGCGAACGGACGAGAAGCUUGCUUCUCUGAUGUUAGCGGCGGACGGGUGAGUAACACGUGGAUAACCUACCUAUAAGACUGGGAUAACUUCGGGAAACCGGAGCUAAUACCGGAUAAUAUUUUGAACCGCAUGGCUCAAAAGUGAAAGACGGUCUUGCUGUCACUUAUAGAUGGAUCCGCGCUGCAUUAGCUAGUUGGUAAGGUAACGGCUUACCAAGGCAACGAUGCAUAGCCGACCUGAGAGGGGGAUCGGCCACACUGGAACUGAGACACGGUCCAGACUCCUACGGGAGGCAGCAGUAGGGAAUCUUCCACAAUGGGCGAAAGCCUGACGGAGCAACGCCGCGUGAGUGAUGAAGGUCUUCGGAUCGUAAAACUCUGUUAUUAGGGAAGAACAUAUGUGUAAGUAACUGUGCACAUCUUGACGGUACCUAAUCAGAAAGCCACGGCUAACUACGUG
rnacentral:rRNA from 1 species